UACGUAGGGUGCAAGCGUUUGUCCGGAAUUAUUGGGCGUAAAGAGCUCGUAGGCGGUCUGUCGCGUCGGAUGUGAAAAUCCAGGGCUUAACCCUGGGCCUGCAUUCGAUACGGGCAGACUAGAGUUCGGUAGGGGAGACUGGAAUUCCUGGUGUAGCGGUGAAAUGCGCAGAUAUCAGGAGGAACACCGGUGGCGAAGGCGGGUCUCUAGGCCGACACUGACGUGAGGAGCGAAAGCGUGGGGAGCGAACAGG
rnacentral:rRNA from 1 species